AUACGUAGGUGGCAAGCGUUGUCCGGAAUUACUGGGCGUAAAGGGCGCGUAGGCGGUCUUUUAAGUCAGAUGAGAAAACCCGGGGCUCAACCUCGGACCUGCAUUUGAAACUGGGAGACUCGAGUGUCGGAGAGGAAAGCGGAAUUCCUAGUGUAGCGGUGAAAUGCGUAGAUAUUAGGAGGAACACCAGUGGCGAAGGCGGCUUUCUGGACGAUAACUGACGCUGAGGCGCGAAAGCGUGGGGAGCAAACAGGAUUAGAUACCCUGGUAGUCCACGCCGUAAACGAUGGAUACUAGGUGUGGGAGGUAUCGAACCCUUCCGUGCCGCAGUAAACGCAAUAAGUAUCCCGCCUGGGGAGUACGGCCGCAAGGUUGA
rnacentral:rRNA from 1 species